UACGAGAGGCCCAAACGUUAUUCGGAAUUACUGGGCUUAAAGAGUUCGUAGGCGGCAUUGCAAGUAGGAUGUGAAAGCCCUCGGCUCAACCGAGGAAUUGCGCUCUAAACUGCAGUGCUUGAGGACCUAGAGGUGAGCAGAACAGAUGGUGGAGCGGUGAAAUGCGUUGAUAUCAUCUGGAAUACCGGAGGCGAAGGCGGCUCACUGGGAGUUUCUGACGCUGAGGAACGAAAGUCCAGGGUAGCGAACGGG
rnacentral:rRNA from 1 species